rnacentral:rRNA from 1 species
UACGAAGGGGGCUAGCGUUGUUCGGAAUUACUGGGCGUAAAGCGUGCGCAGGCGGCUUCUCAAGUCAGGGGUGAAAGCCCAGAGCUCAACUCUGGAAUUGCCUUUGAGACUGAGUGGCUUGAGUACGGGAGAGGUGAGUGGAAUUCCCAGUGAUAGAGGUGAAAUUCGUAGAUAUUGGGAAGAACACCGGUGGCGAAGGCGGCUCACUGGCCCGUAACUGACGCUCAUGCACGACAGCGUGGGGAUCAAACAGG